AAGGGUAUAGCUUAGUGGUAGAGCGCGUGCUUAGCAUGCACAAGGUCCUGGGUUCAAUCCCCAGUCCCUCCU
rnacentral:tRNA from 1 species